UGCUAGGAGGGCAUGCCGUAAGGAGUGUGCAGUGUAGACCUGUCCCAAGUGGUAUCAUCCCUGUUACAGUGGAAGAAACUGAAAUCCAAAGAGACUUAGGAGCAACAUCUCUGUGUAAAGGUCUGUGUACAUGGCAGAACGGAUGCGGUUCCACUGUCCAAGAGUCUCCAAACUGCCUGAAAUAUUCAUGUGAUGGGAAAGGAAGAAAGUGAAGAGCCAAUUGGUGCUGUGUUGUUUGUUUGCUUUGACAAUUGCACAUGCCAGAGAAAUAGGAGAGAGCAUCAGGUGGUGCUUGAAGGGCAUGCCCUAUCCUACACGAGUGGAGUCUUCAAUCAGGGAGUGGAUGAUGCCUUGUUAUGGGUGACUGAGGAGAGCAAAUAAACAAGAACAAAAUAAAAUUACAAAUCUACUCCUCGGGUGGUAAUUUGUUUUGGACAGUGAAGAUAGUACAGUAUUCUGAAAGCAAUCGCUUAAGCAUCCACCCGGGAUUGGAUGAACUGGGUGGGAGAGGCAGAGACAAAGGGUCAGGGGCCUACUGGGUUACUAAAGGUGAUCUGGGUUCAGUCCCCAUUUCAAUCACCAGUGAAGUGAGCUUGAUCUUUUCAUGCCAGUGCCAUAAAGAACAUGCAACUAGAUUUGCAGUACUGAAUAAAACUAAUCUCUGCCCAUCUCUCCAUUAAGGAGAGACCAAUAAGUAUAAUUCAAAAACCCACACUAAACCAUCCAGCUAAUCUGCAAUCCCAAGGCAGGCACAUCUAAAACCCUCACCGUAUUUACAUCUUCUGGAAGGCCAGACCCCUCCAUCAAAACCAGCUACAAUGGUCAAAGGCCUCUUC